rnacentral:rRNA from 1 species
GGGAAACAGAUGCUAAUACCGGAUAAUAACAAGAUGAUGCCUAUCAACUGUUUAAAAAGAUAGGUUCUGCUAUCACUCUUGGGAUGGACCUGCGGUGCAUUAGCUAGUUGGUAGGGUAACGGCCUACCAAGGCGAUGAUGCAUAGCCGAGUUGAGAGACUGAUCGGCCACAUUGGGACUGAGACACGGCCCAAAACUCCUACGGGAGGCAGCAGUAGGGAAUCUUCCACAAUGGACGCAAGUCUGAUGGAGCAACGCCGCGUGAGUGAAGUAAGGGUUUCGGCUCGUAAAGCUCUGUUGUUGGUGAAGAAGGACAGGGGUAGUAACUGACCUUUGUUUGACGGUAAUCAAUUAGAAAGUCACGGCUAACUACGUGCCAGCAGCCGCGGUAAU